UGGAGGGGGUGAGAAAUGAUAAAUUAAACAAAUUGUGCAAUAAGGGAAGCUAAAUGUAGUCUUUUGCAGUAUAUAAGUCACAGUCUGCUGUGGUGUGUCUAGGGCUACACAAACACAUUUAACUCCAAAAUGGGAAAGUACUGGGCAGUUAAGGUGCUGUAGUGUGGGUAAGGUGAUGUUGUGGGGUAUAAGGGCACUAGUGUGGAAU